AAAAGAUUUUAAGCAGCUGCAUGACUUUGUUCUUUCCGUCCUCCGAGGGGUUUGUUUUUGUUUAAGUAUGUAAACCUAUCAAAGGAAAUAAAUAAGCUUUAUGUGCAGCCCAGUUGUAUUAGCUCAUUAGAGACAGGAAUUCAGCAAAUGGGAAGUAAACACACCGGCUGCCUGGGGCCCCGGAUGCCACAGUGGCUCCAAGGGGCUAUUUUCACCAGGGAGGUGGGAUCAAUGGCUCAUCCUUAGGGGCUUAUUAAUUUCUUCACAAUGAAACAUUUUCUCCCUAUUCACUGCUGGGAUUAGGAACAGAGGGAAGCAUGCUUACAGGCCAUAAAGACCCCUCGAAACUCUGGUGUAAAUAAGAACUUGCUUUUAGGGGGCAGCCGGUGGCUCAGCAGUUAAGUGCGAACUUCCGCUUUGGCGGCCUGGGGUUCGCUGGUUUGGAUCCCCGGUGCAGACAUGGCACCACUUGGCAGGCCAUGCUGUGGUAGGCAUCCCACAUAUAAAGUAGAGGAAGAUGGGCACGGACGUUAGCUCAGGGCCAGUCUUCCUCAGCAAAAAGAGGAGGAUUGGUGGCAGAUGUUAGCUAAGGGCUAAUCUUCCUCAAAAAAGAACUUGCUUUUGGAACUGUGAAAGAAGCAGGCAUUCUAUAAUCUACCUGAUGAAUAUGUAUGAGUAAGGUGAGCCCUAACCAAAAUGCUGCUAUGGUCACUUUUCCCUUAACAUCUCCUUUUCAAUUGCUUUUCUCCAGCAUUGUCAGCAUCAUUACUUAUGCUCUCUGGGUUUGGGGCUCCUCAUCUAUUAAGUGAAGAACAUGUAGUAAAUGGUCUCCAAGUUGCUUUCAGCUCAAAUAGGACCUUAAUUCAUACUAAAGUAGUAGAGGCUGACAAGGGCUUGUCAUGCCUCCCACUCUCAGCCCUGGGGAGUUUUUAUUUAACAAGAACCUUAAAGCUUUGGUAUCUUUCCCCAAAAUAAUAAAUGUUAUUAAAGUACCCCACAAAUUAUACCUCUCCCCAGC
rnacentral:lncRNA from 1 species